CAAGAUUGUAGUUUUAAAUAAAACAUUUGCAUUGGAAGCUAAAAAUCAGGUGAAUACCUGCAUCUUGA
rnacentral:tRNA from 2 species